rnacentral:rRNA from 1 species
UUGAACGCUGGCGGCAGGCCUAACACAUGCAAGUCGAGCGGUUGAGAGUAGCUUGCUACUUGAUGCAGCGGCGGACGGGUGAGUAACGCGUGGGAAUCUGCCCAGUAGUGGGGGACAACAGCCGGAAACGGAUGCUAAUACAGCAUACGCCCUACGGGGAAAGGGGGGAUCUUCGGACCUCGCGCUAUUGGAUGAGCCCGCGUCGGAUUAGCUAGUUGGUAGGGUAAAGGCCUACCAAGGCUACGAUCCGUAACUGGUCUGAGAGGAUGAUCAGUCACACUGGGACUGAGACACGGUCCAGACUCCUACGGGAGGCAGCAGUGGGGAAUAUUGGACAAUGGGGGAAACCCUGAUCCAGCCAUGCCGCGUGUGUGAAGAAGGCCUUAGGGUUGUAAAGCACUUUCAGUGGGGAGAAAGGUUUGUCACCUAAUACGUGAUGAAAUUGAUGUUACCCACAGAAGAAGCACCGGCUAACUCCGUGCCAGCAGCCGCGGUAA